UACAGAGGGGGCAAGCGUUGUUCGGAAUUACUGGGCGUAAAGGGCGCGUAGGCGCCUUCUAAGUCGAACGUGAAAUCCCCGGGCUCAACCCGGGAACUGCGUCCGAUACUGGAAGGCUUGAAUCCGGGAGGGGGAUGCGGAAUUCCAGGGUGUAGCGGUGAAAUGCGUAGAUAUCUGGAGGAACACCGGUGGCGAAGGCGGCAUCCUGGACCGGUAUUGACGCUGAGGCGCGAAAGCCAGGGGAGCAA
rnacentral:rRNA from 1 species